GUGAGAACCGCAUUUGAAGUGUUCUACACACCGCUCACUAGGCAGGGCUCUCAGCCAGAUAGCGAAGGUACAAACCCAUUGUCGGAGUUGGGUUUUUUCCGCUUCCCUCCAACAAUAGGCUUGAACACUCGGCUAAAGGCGAUGGUCAGUCUUUCUGCCUAGAACUAUGAACGGGAGUAGAAGUGCGCGUCGUGUGUAGUAAUUUAAUUUUUGUAUUUUGUGUGUAAUAUGUGUAUUCAUGAAUUUUUGUUGUAGGCAUAAAUGAAAAAAAGAAACAGUUAGUGGAAGGAAUUGUAGAAUAAUUGAGUUUGUGAAAAAAAGAAAUAGGAACCUGAAAAAUAAUUAAUUAUACACUUACCUGGAAACCCUGAAAAAGAAAAAAAAACUGAAAAAAAGGUCCGCACAGUGGGCCUUUUUUUUAUGUCUUCUCCAAAAUAGGCAUCAACCACAACUUUCUAGGCAGAAAGUGUAGAGAGCCACCAACAAACUCAAGCGAUUGGCUUACAGCAAGACCGAGCACUCUAACCGCAACUUUUACAACCGAUUGCGAAGGACAAUCGAACCUGGACAGACGUGUCCCAGAGGACGAAACAGGAAGACAUAUUCACACAAGGAUAUGGAUAAACAACGUAUCACACCAAAUUGAGGACUACACCACAUUGCUCAAAUACAUAACGAUUGCGCAAGUAUACAAAACCAUAAACUGUGACGUCACAAAUAGUAAAGUAUAUCAAAACACAUAGAAAAGUAUAUGUUUAGAAUUAAAUUAAAAGUAAAAGAAGUAUUUACACAUAGAAUUUAUAUAGUACGCCACUACAAACAUAAUACACGUGUAAGAAAUUAAAAGUUUGGUUUACAUAAAUUUUCGUUUGUACACAUA